UACGAAGGGGGCGAGCGUUGUUCGGAUUUACUGGGCGUAAAGGGCGCGCAGGCGGUUCUGUUUGUCGAGUGUGAAAGCCCCGGGCUCAACCUGGGAACUGCGCUCGAAACGGCGGAACUAGAGUUCGGGAGAGGAGAGUGGAAUUCCCAGGUGUAGAGGUGAAAUUCGUAGAUAUCAGGAGGAACACCGGUGGCGAAGGCGGGUCUCUGGGCAAUGAACUGACGCUGGAGGAGCGAAAGCGUGGGGAGCGAACAGG
rnacentral:rRNA from 1 species